ACAGUGGAACGUGUAACCCGCCUGUCAGUGAAGCUCUCUAUUCACAUCCCCCUCAAAGUUUUUGAAUUGGAGUUCAGUUUUUUGUUUGAUAUUUUAUACAUAUGCAAUAGUUGAUAGGGAUAGCUAAGUUAUGUUCAUAAUCUUGAUAUUGCACCCUUUUGGUCUCUCAACCAAACAUCAUUAUGAGAUUUUAGUUUAAUUAGGAGAGUAUAGUAGAUGGAUCUAGUAGCUAUUAGCUAGGUUUCUAAAUUAUUAUGUAGUAAUUAUUAUGUGAGAGAAUAACUAAGUUCACAAUGUGG
rnacentral:misc_RNA from 1 species